rnacentral:rRNA from 1 species
UACGUAGGGGGCUAGCGUUGUCCGGAAUCAUUGGGCGUAAAGCGCGUGUAGGCGGUCCGGUAAGUCCGCUGUGAAAGUCGGGGGCUCAACCCUCGGAUGCCGGUGGAUACUGUCGGGCUUGAGUACGGAAGAGGCGAGUGGAAUUCCUGGUGUAGCGGUGAAAUGCGCAGAUAUCAGGAGGAACACCAAUUGCGAAGGCAGCUCGCUGGGACGUUACUGACGCUGAGACGCGAAAGCGUGAGGAGCAAACAGG